UACAGAGGGGGCAAGCGUUGUUCGGAAUUACUGGGCGUAAAGGGCGCGUAGGCGGCCUGUUAAGUCGAACGUGAAAUCCCCGGGCUCAACCCGGGAACUGCGUCCGAUACUGGCAGGCUUGAAUCCGGGAGAGGGAUGCGGAAUUCCGCGUGUAGCAGUGAAAUGCGUAGAUAUGCGGAGGAACACCGAUGGCGAAGGCAAUCCCCUGGGCCUGCACUGACGCUCAUGCACGAAAGCGUGGGGAGCAAACAGG
rnacentral:rRNA from 1 species